rnacentral:rRNA from 1 species
GAUGAACGCUAGCGGCAGGCUUAAUACAUGCAAGUCGAGGGGCAGCAGCUUUAUAGCAAUAUAGAGGCUGGCGACCGGCAAACGGGUGCGGAACACGUACACAACCUUCCUUUAAGAGGGGGAUAGCCCAUAGAAAUGUGGAUUAAUACCCCGUAACAUAUCGGUGUGGCAUCACACUGUUAUUAUAGUUUCGACGCUUGAAGAUGGGUGUGCGGCUGAUUAGGUAGUUGGCGGGGUAAAGGCCCACCAAGCCUUCGAUCAGUAGCUGAUGUGAGAGCAUGAUCAGCCACACGGGCACUGAGACACGGGCCCGACUCCUACGGGAGGCAGCAGUAAGGAAUAUUGGUCAAUGGACGCAAGUCUGAACCAGCCAUGCCGCGUGAAGGAUGAAGGUCCUCUGGAUUGUAAACUUCUUUUAUAGGGGGCGAAAAAAGGGAAUUCUUUCUCACUUGACAGUACCCUAUGAAUAAGCACCGGCUAACUCCGUGCCAGCAGCCGCCGCAG